rnacentral:rRNA from 1 species
AAUGGGUCAGCGACUUAUAUUCUGUAGCAAGGUUAACCGAAUAGGGGAGCCGAAGGGAAACCGAGUCUUAACUGGGCGUUAAGUUGCAGGGUAUAGACCCGAAACCCGGUGAUCUAGCCAUGGGCAGGUUGAAGGUUGGGUAACACUAACUGGAGGACCGAACCGACUAAUGUUGAAAAAUUAGCGGAUGACUUGUGGCUGGGGGUGAAAGGCCAAUCAAACCGGGAGAUAGCUGGUUCUCCCCGAAAGCUAUUUAGGUAGCGCCUCGUGAAUUCAUCUCCGGGGGUAGAGCACUGUUUCGGCAAGGGGGUCAUCCCGACUUACCAACCCGAUGCAAACUGCGAAUACCGGAGAAUGUUAUCACGGGAGACACACGGCGGGUGCUAACGUCCGUCGUGAAGAGGGAAACAACCCAGACCGCCAGCUAAGGUCCCAAAGUCAUGGUUAAGUGGGAAACGAUGUGGGAAGGCCCAGACAGCCAGGAUGUUGGCUUAGAAGCAGCCAUCAUUUAAAGAAAGCGUAAUAGCUCACUGGUCGAGUCGGCCUGCGCGGAAGAUGUAACGGGGCUAAACCAUGCACCGAAGCUGCGGCAGCGACACUAUGUGUUGUUGGGUAGGGGAGCGUUCUGUAAGCCUGUGAAGGUGUACUGUGAGGUAUGCUGGAGGUAUCAGAAGUGCGAAUGCUGACAUAAGUAACGAUAAAGCGGGUGAAAAGCCCGCUCGCCGGAAGACCAAGGGUUCCUGUCCAACGUUAAUCGGGGCAGGGUGAGUCGACCCCUAAGGCGAGGCCGAAAGGCGUAGUCGAUGGGAAACAGGUUAAUAUUCCUGUACUUGGUGUUACUGCGAAGGGGGGACGGAGAAGGCUAUGUUGGCCGGGCGACGGUUGUCCCGGUUUAAGCGUGUAGGCUGGUUUUCCAGGCAAAUCCGGAAAAUCAAGGCUGAGGCGUGAUGACGAGGCACUACGGUGCUGAAGCAACAAAUGCCCUGCUUCCAGGAAAAGCCUCUAAGCAUCAGGUAACAUCAAAUCGUACCCCAAACCGACACAGGUGGUCAGGUAGAGAAUACCAAGGCGCUUGAGAGAACUCGGGUGAAGGAACUAGGCAAAAUGGUGCCGUAACUUCGGGAGAAGGCACGCUGAUAUGUAGGUGAAGUCCCUCGCGGAUGGAGCUGAAAUCAGUCGAAGAUACCAGCUGGCUGCAACUGUUUAUUAAAAACACAGCACUGUGCAAACACGAAAGUGGACGUAUACGGUGUGACGCCUGCCCGGUGCCGGAAGGUUAAUUGAUGGGGUCAGCGCAAGCGAAGCUCUUGAUCGAAGCCCCGGUAAACGGCGGCCGUAACUAUAACGGUCCUAAGGUAGCGAAAUUCCUUGUCGGGUAAGUUCCGACCUGCACGAAUGGCGUAAUGAUGGCCAGGCUGUCUCCACCCGAGACUCAGUGAAAUUGAACUCGCUGUGAAGAUGCAGUGUACCCGCGGCAAGACGGAAAGACCCCGUGAACCUUUACUAUAGCUUGACACUGAACAUUGAGCCUUGAUGUGUAGGAUAGGUGGGAGGCUUAGAAGUGUGGACGCCAGUCUGCAUGGAGCCGACCUUGAAAUACCACCCUUUAAUGUUUGAUGUUCUAACGUUGACCCGUAAUC